AGCCAUCAUUCAACUCCUUGUUAGUUGCUUAUGGUCAGCGGUAUUGAUGUGUUACCAGCACAUCAAUACCGCGAA
rnacentral:sRNA from 1 species